UACGGAGGGGGCUAGCGUUGUUCGGAAUUACUGGGCGUAAAGCGCACGUAGGCGGCUUUGUAAGUCAGGGGUGAAAUCCUGGAGCUCAACUCCAGAACUGCCUUUGAUACUGGGAAUCUCGAGUCCGGAAGAGGUGAGUGGAACUGCGAGUGUAGAGGUGAAAUUCGUAGAUAUUCGCAAGAACACCAGUGGCGAAGGCGGCUCACUGGUCCGGUACUGACGCUGAGGUGCGAAAGCGUGGGGAGCAAACAGG
rnacentral:rRNA from 1 species